rnacentral:rRNA from 1 species
GAUGAACGCUGGCGGCGUGCCUAAUACAUGCAAGUCGAACGAACAUAGCAAUAUGUUAGUGGCGACCGGGUGCGUAACACGUAGCUGAUCUGCCCCUCAGCGGGGGAUAACUAUUCGAAAGAGUAGCUAAUACCGCAUAAUAUCGGGAUUUUUAGAAAGUCCCGCUUAAACUUACGGGGUUGAGGGAGGAGGCUGCGGCCCAUCAGGUAGUUGGUGAGGUAAAAGCUCACCAAGCCAAUGACGGGUAGGGGGCCUGAGAGGGUGGUCCCCCACACUGGGACUGACACACGGCCCAGACUCCUACGGGAGGCAGCAGUAAGGGAUAUUGCGCAAUGGGCGAAAGCCUGACGCAGCAACGCCG